ACGUCAAGUCUCAUGGCCGUUACAGGCUGGGCUACACACGUGCUACAAUGGCAUCUACAGUGGGCAGCUAUUCCGCAAGGAUGCGCUAAUCUCCAAAAGAUGUCUCAGUUCGGAUUGUCCUCUGCAACUCGAGGGCAUGAAGGCGGAAUCGCUAGUAAUCGCGGAUCAGCAUGCCGCGGUGAAUACGUUCCCGGGCCUU
rnacentral:rRNA from 1 species